rnacentral:rRNA from 1 species
CGGAGGGUGCAAGCGUUAUCCGGAUUUACUGGGUUUAAAGGGUGCGCAGGCGGAUAUGUAAGUCAGUGGUGAAAUCUCCGGGCUUAACCCGGAAACUGCCGUUGAUACUAUAUAUCUUGAAUGCUGUGGAGGUAAGCAGAAUAUGUCAUGUAGCGGUGAAUGCUUAGAUAUGACAUAGAAUACCUAUUGCGAAGGCAGCUUACUACGCAGAUAUUGACGCUCAUGCACGAAAGCGUGGGGAUCAAACAGGAUUAGAUACCCUGGUAGUCCACGCCCUAAACGAUGAUUACUCGACAUACGCGAUAUACAGUGUGUGUCUGAGCGAAAGCAUUAAGUAAUCCACCUGGGAAGUACGAUCGCAAGAUUG